UGAACGUAAUUUAUUUAAAAUAUGAAUUAUCGAAACUGUCUGUCUGUAGAGAUUAAAAUAUCAUUAAUUCAAAAAUGUAAGUAUUGAAUUCGUAACUACUUUAACAAAUAAUACGUGUUUACGCGGUGUUAUCUUCUUACAUAUUCAAGAUUAAAAUUCGCCUGUCCCUGUCCUGGAUGCGGUUUCAUUAAAAACAAUGAAGAAAUCCUCGAUGUUUUUCCGAAACAACAGUAUUUUGAACACAGUAUUGGGACGUGCUAACCUACGUUUUAAAAUUUAAAUUGGCAAACGCCUAAAUACAUGUAAUUUAAAAUUUAAAAUUUGAUCUCGGAAUAAACGUUUUUCGCAACAAAAUACAUCAAUUAUACAUUCAUUGAUAUCCAAAGGGACCUCAUUAAAUCACGAUGAACAACAGUUUUCAAUAAUAUUGAAGCCAAACAAACUAGUACCAACAUAUACCCUGGAAAUAAAAUAUAAGAUUUUCCACUGAAAAAAAAGGUAUAUUAAGCAAAAUUUUAUUCCAAGUACGAAUACGCAAAAAUUUUUUCUCUAUCCGAAACCCUACACAACAUGUUGUAAAAGAACAAAAGCAUUAUUAAUAAAAACAUUAUUUUGCGUGUUCAUAGCUUCCGCGAACCGACGUCCGGAAUUCGUUCGGCAAUUUCGAUCCUUUGUAUGGAUGAUAUUCACUACAAUGGACAUUACUGAUCAUCAUCACUAACCGUGUCUGUGAACUCUAUCUGGCAUUGCAGUCCAGCUCACCGAGCGGGUGAGCAUUGUGCUUGAUGGAGAAAGGGACUCCCGGCGGCAGGCGCAAUAAACUCCUGCUAAGCACUGGGCAAUAAGGAGCCGCGCGUCGCACUGCCAAUCUCCAAGGUUAACAGGUCACCAAGUUGAGACGACACGGGAAUUAACUCGCGAGGCUAUGCACCAACUGGACUCCCCGUUGACGACUGACCAAUCUUAUCGAUGCACCAAUGUAAUUGGUAUCAUUCACGAGUAGGCCAGUAAGAGAGCCCCUCGUGCAUGGACUGAUAUUAUAAUGUAGCGUUAUACAUUUUUAAACUAUGCUGCGGCCCUAACUAUUCUUAGAUCCAACAUCGACCGCUUUGUAAAGGUAAAAUAACUGGAACAAAACCCGACUUGAUUGCAUUGUUGAAUAAAUAAAAUGUUUCAAUUGCCCUAGAACGGCAAAUAAUUACAAAGGCUUUGCUUUUUUCCAUUUUAUAGCAAUUUCCUAGAUAAUGGGAAGAUAGCAACCCUAAGUAUAUUUCCCUUGAAGCAGUUAGAUUAUUAAAAAUACUACGUUGAAAGUGCGGGACUAUUCUAGAAGUACUACAAAGAAUUAAAAACGACAAAAGAAAAUAAAAUAUUGUAAAUAGAAAGGAAAACAAAUGCAGCCAAGUAAUCAUCAAAAUAUCAUCCACAGCUUAAAGCUACCUACUGCGUAAAUUAGAAGAGUGAGCGCGAACUUAACGAGUUAUUGGGUGAUAAGCGUAGUAGUUGUAUUAUCGCCAAAUGUCUAAGUCCUGUGCUGUUUUCUAGAUAUCGAAAUUCCUACAUUGUAACUAAGUUUUGCGCCUCUUACAAUAAUGAUCACCCUCAAAUCUACAUAUUGUUACGUUUUCUUGUAAUAUUUUAAUUUUGAAAGCAAGAGUACAACUUCGUUUGCUGAUUGGUGUGGCGCAAAACU